rnacentral:rRNA from 1 species
CGCAUGGAAGAAAGUUGAAAGGCGCUUUUGCGUCACUGAUGGAUGGACCCGCGGUGCAUUAGCUAGUUGGUGAGGUAGCGGCUCACCAAGGCAACGAUGCAUAGCCGACCUGAGAGGGUGAUCGGCCACACUGGGACUGAGACACGGCCCAGACUCCUACGGGAGGCAGCAGUAGGGAAUCUUCGGCAAUGGACGAAAGUCUGACCGAGCAACGCCGCGUGAGUGAAGAAGGUUUUCGGAUCGUAAAACUCUGUUGUUAGAGAAGAACAAGGAUGAGAGUAAAAUGUUCAUCCCUUGACGGUAUCUAACCAGAAAGCCACGGCUAACUACGUGCCAGCAGCCGCGGUAAUACGUAGGUGGCAAGCGUUGUCCGGAUUUAUUGGGCGUAAAGCGAGCGCAGGCGGUUUCUUAAGUCUGAUGUGAAAGCCCCCGGCUCAACCGGGGAGGGUCAUUGGAAACUGGGAGACUUGAGUGCAGAAGAGGAGAGUGGAAUUCCAUGUGUAGCGGUGAAAUGCGUAGAUAUAUGGAGGAACACCAGUGGCGAAGGCGGCUCUCUGGU